rfam:Populus trichocarpa isolate Nisqually-1 chromosome 4, whole genome shotgun sequence.
UAAUUUGUUUAGAGCAGAUUCUCAUUAGUUAUUGCAAAUUUACAUGUGACUACUCAUAAUCAUUUACUACUAUGUGAACAAUAACUUUUUGAGAUUUUAAUUAGAGU